rnacentral:rRNA from 1 species
CCUACGGGAGGCAGCAGUGGGGAAUCUUGCACAAUGGGGGAAACCCUGAUGCAGCGACGCCGCGUGAGCGAUGAAGCCCUUCGGGGUGUAAAGCUCUUUCGGCAGGGAAGAUUAUGACGGUACCUGCAGAAGCAGCUGCGGCUAACUACGUGCCAGCAGCCGCGGUAAUACGUAGGCAGCAAGCGUUGUUCGGAGUUACUGGGCGUAAAGGGUGUGUAGGCGGUUUUCUAAGUUUGGUGUGAAAUCUCCCGGCUUAACUGGGAGGGUGCGCCGAAAACUGGAAAGCUAGAGUACUGGAUGGGAGAGUGGAAUUCCUGGUGUAGCGGUGAAAUGCGUAGAUAUCAGGAGGAACACCUGUGGUGUAGACGGCUCUCUGGACAGUCACUGACGCUGAGACACGAAAGCGUGGGUAGCAAACAGGAUUAGAUACCCUGGUAGUCCACGCCCUAAACGAUGCAUAUUUGGUGUGGGCCAUUCGUUUGGUCCGUGCCGGAGCUAACGCGUUAAAUAUGCCGCCUGGGGAGUACGGUCGCAAGGCUGAAACUCAAAUGAAUUGACGG